AGGCAUCACUGAAGACCUGACACCGGCGGAAUCGGACGUUCGCCGUCCUCGGCGGGACGCACCAGGUGUUGUGUUAUGCAAACUUCACUGCCAUCCGAUGACGCUGUCACAUCCCGUCGACGAGAAUGACCCCUGGCUUUGUCUGAGGAGCACACUUGGCCGUCUCCAAAACGCAGAGUCACAGGGGCAAGACAAUAACGCCCAGAAGUUAUACAAAUGAAUUGUCGGGAAAAGAGCUGGAACGAGAAGAGGGGUGCUCACAGCGUUAGCCAUCGAUGCAGAGUGAAGGAGCGGGUAGAGGAGCAAAAAAGACAAGUGAAAGAGGUCCAGACUUGAAGGAGGCACGCAAGCACAGAGACACACACAUAAUGGCACCUAGAGGCUGUCUGCGGUCUACCACCACCCUACCACACACACACACACACACACACACACACAUAUGCAUGCCAGUUACGCUAAAAAUCUGAACACUGAAGGAGGAUCAUUAUGGCCUCCUUCAGGAAGAAAACAAUGUUUUCUAGUUUUCUUCUCCAAGGAGAGAAACAUUGACAAGUUAUAUUCGAGAAAGCUACAAAAUUCAGUCAUUUAAAGAGCUUUGUAGUUUCCAGUACCAGCGCUGUUAAAAGCUGUUUUUUGGUUUAAUUUAAUGCGAGAUGU